rnacentral:misc_RNA from 1 species
UACAGAGAGUGCAAGCGUUAAUCGGAAUCAUUGGGCGUAAAGCGCACGUAGGUGGAUACUUAAGUCGAACGUGAAAUCCCCGGGCUUAACCUGGGAAUUGCGUCCGAUACUAAGCAUCUAGAGUAGGGUAGAGGGAAGUGGAAUUUCCGGUGUAGCGGUGAAAUGCGUAGAUAUCGGAAAGAACACCAGUGGCGAAGGCGGCUUCCUGGACCAAUACUGACACUGAGGUGCGAAAGCGUGGGGAGCAAACAGG